GUUGGGGAAGUUAAUAAGGAUUAUUAUGCUUAAUCUGUCAGGUCCGGAAGGAAGCAGCAGGAGCAUGUAUAGUUUUGUAUUAACUUCCCUGUUUUG
rnacentral:SRP_RNA from 1 species